rfam:Rattus norvegicus chromosome 16, whole genome shotgun sequence.
GGGGAUUUGGCUCAGUGGUAGAGCACUUGCCUAGGAAGCACAAUGUCCUGGGUUCAAUCCCCAGCCCCG